rnacentral:lncRNA from 1 species
AGUGCUAUACCUCUGUAGUUUGAGGGGUUAUUAAAACACCCUCCUUUGAAUACUGGUUUAAUGUAAUUUUUCUCUCUAUUUAGAAGGAUAUAUGCCAGUAAAAAGAAUUAAGUUAAAUAAUUUUACAUACAUGUUGACGUUCAUAGUACAAGAUAUUUUCAACAUUUCAUUUGUUAAUCCAUCAGAACCACAUAAUUUCUUAUUUUUCAAGGCUUUCAG